rnacentral:lncRNA from 1 species
GUGUUUGAGUUCUAGAAUUACCCAACACGUCCCUCGCUCAAAGUCUGCCAAAGCUAGAAGGCUAUUACAUAAGAAAUUGCGGUGAAUUGAAGCAUAUUAUCUGAGAAGAGGAUGGUGAAAGGGAAAUAAUUCCACAGACUCCUGGCUUCCCAAAAUUAAAAUCUAUCUUCAUAGAAGACUGUGGAAAACUGGAAUGUGUCCUCCCUGUCUCUGUGUCUCCAAGCCUUCUGAACCUGGAAGAGAUGCAGAUUUUUAAAGCUCAUAAUUUAAAGCAAAUAUUUUACAGUGGAGAAGGAGAUGCACUCACCACAGAUGGCAUCAUCAAAUUCCCUCGACUAAGUAAAUUGGAUCUUUCUUCCAGAUCAAAUUACAGUUUUUUUGGUCCCAAGAAUUUUGCUGCUCAAUUGCCUUAUUUGCAAAUUCUAAAAAUUGACGGCCACAAAGAAUUGGGAAAUUUGUUUGCAAAGCUCCAAGUACGUCCUUUAUAUUUCUCCAAUAAUUUUUUUCCUUUUUAAUUUAAAUUGUCAACUUCAAUACAUGUUGAUUUCUUCCUUUAAAUUUCUGAAACUGAAGUAAUUGAUAAGUAGAGAUAAAUCCUUUAGCCAUCCACUAAAUUUAAAAGGAGUUGUCUAACUGUAUCUGUCAUGACCUGAUUCCCAGAUCCAUGACCGGCACAUAGGCAAGGUUUCCCUCCAAGGUUCCAUACCUAUGCGAACCCAAACUUACAUACAAACUUAUCCUAACUCAAUCAGAGUUCAACGCAGCAUUAAUAACAAAAUCAACUUCAUAAUAUAAUUGAAUUGUCUUAAUACAAGAGUUAAUAUAAUUUCAUAAUUUUGGAGUUCUAACUAGACAUAAAGGAAAAUGUACAAGUUACAACCAAAAGAGCAGGUUCUGAAGGUCCAACAAAAGUGACUUGCUAUUAAGCUAUAGCCUGAAAAGGAUAAAUAAUGAGAGAGUGAGUUCAAAAUCAAGCUAUAAGCCUGAAAGGAUAAAUAAUGAGAGAGUGAGUUCAACAACUCAGUGAGUAGAUAAUAUUCAAUACACACACACGAGGUAAUACAGCAAUGAGAAAUAUAUAUACAAGUAUGGCUCUAGGUUCUUAUAGGAAGGUUUCUCAAAUAGGCCAUAACAAGAAUAUCAUAUGGUAAAACUCGUCAGAAAAUCAAAAUGCAAUGAGCAUAAGGCUCCGUACUGUGAGAUGAUCAGUUCACACAGGUUGGUGACUCCCCCGACCAACUAGGGUUCAGAUACGAUGUGCACAAAGACUAACACUACCCUGUUAGCAUGGGUAUUCUGACUGACAUACCAUAGCCUCAUAAUCAUAAUCAAACAUACAUAUUCAUAUCUUAAGGCUCAACUCAUGACAUCAAUCAAAUAAGGAGUUAUCAAUUCAGAAGUCAAUUCAAAAUAUAUACUGGUUCAUAUCAAGAAUUCAGAUUUAACAAUUGAUCAUACUUUAUCAUAACAAGGAUAAUAAUCAACAUAUAUAUUAUCAAGAAGCAUGAUCCAAUUCACAUUAACAAAUAAAAUAUUUAUAAUAUUUCUCAUGCAUAUGGAAAAUUAUCCACUCACCUGACUCGAAAGCAAACAGAAAUCAAAAGCAGACACCGAAGAAAAUCCUACUGACGUCCCGCCGGUAGAAUAUCAGGAUUAUCUGAAUAUAGAGGAGACAUAUUCAAGAAUGACUCAAAAGAAUAUAUAACCUAUUUAAUACACUUAUCUAAGGGUGUAUUCCAUAACCCUAUAUGUUUUUGAACUAACUAGUUAUUUUUCCUAAAAACCCAACAUUUAAUGGUUUUCCCGAAAUCUAAUCCAAUAAUAAAACAAAUAAUAAAAUUGGUAAUAAUUCACUAAAUAACCCUCAAUUAUUCAUCAAACCAAACUGCACAAGCUAAUAUUACAGCUAGGGACUAAUCUGUAAUUUAUCAUAUUUUUAAGGGUCAAAUUGUAACUUUUGUCAAAUUGAAGGACCAAACUAAUUAAAAUAUCAUAAAUCCAUUACUAUACUGAAAUUCUGAACAUAAUUAAUCCUCAUUUCUGUCAAGAAUAUCUCAUUAUACUCCAGGGACCAUUCUGGAAUUUUACCAAAUUUUUAGGGUCAAAUUGUAAUUUUUGUCAAAUUGAAGGACUAAAUUGAAAGUGUUAAAAUUUCAAAACUAUACAGGAAUUCUGCCCAUAAUUCAUCUUUUAUUCUGUUUAGAAUCUCGGAAUAGGCUCUAGGGACCAAUCUGUAAAUUUUCCAAAGUUUGGGGACUAAACUGUAAUUUCCAUAAAUUGAAGGACCAAAUUGAAUUUUCAUCAUCUUCCACCUCCAACCCAGAAUUUCAACAGAAAACCCACUGUUCUUUCCUUAUUUCUAACAGAAAUUCACCAUUCAAACAAAAUCAUAACUCAAAAUCAUCAUAAUCUUCCAUAAUCAACUAAAUAAUCAAUUACCCACAACAAUCAACCCCAUAACAUUUAAUUUAAUUCAUCAAUUAAACCCAAAACAUAAAUUUUCAAAACCCUAACAUUCAUCAAAACUGAAAUUAAAGUUCAAUUAACAUACAUUUAUACAUUUAACAACCUAAAUCUUACCUUUAAACUUAUUUCUUCAAUUCCUUUCUAUUUCCCUAAAUUUAAAUUUAUACUCUUUAAGCCUCCAAGGGCUUUGUUGCCAUUUCCUAUCUUUUUUUUUUAUUUCAAAAUAUUACAAUCUCCCCACCUUAUAAAAGUUUCGUCCUCAAAACUUAAUAGAAAAGAUUGAAUACUUACCGAGAUUAUCGAAAAGAUGAGGAUACUCCUGACGCAUCUUAUCCUCGAGCUCCCAUGUCGCUUCCUCACGUGAAUGACCUUUCCAUUUCACUUUCACUGAAGCUAUAUCCUUCGACUGAAGCUUCCUCACUUGCCGGUCGAUUAUAGCUUCCGAUUGCACCUCAUAAACCAUAUCAUCUCUCAAUUCAAUGGGAUGAAUCUCUAACACAUGCGAUGGAUCUGACAUAUACUUCCUUAGCAUGGAAACAUGAAAUACCGGAUGAAUAGCAAAUAAGUUUGGUGGUAAUGAUAACCUAUAAGCAACUGCCCCAACUCUCUCCAGAAUCUCAUACGGUCCAAUGAAUCGAGGACUCAACUUAUCUUUCUUCCCAAACUUGAAUACUCCUUUUGUCAGUGAUACUUUUAAGAACACACAAUCACCCACUGAAAACUCUAAGUCACGCCUUCUUUUAUCUGCGUAACUCUUUUGUCUGCUCUGAGCUGUUUGAAGCUUAUUUCUAAUUAUCUAUAUCUUCUCCGAGGUAAUCUGAAUCAACUCCGGUCCCAUUAACCUCUUCUCACCAACCUCAAACCAACAAACCGGUGAUCUACACUUCCAACCAUACAAAGCCUCAUAAGGUGUCAUCUCUAUGCUAGCCUGAUAACUGUUAUUGUAAGCAAAUUCCACUAAUGGUAGGAACUUACUUCAACCAACUCCAAAAUCCAUAACACAAGCCCUUAACAUAUCCUCCAAGAUCUGAAUGGUCCUCUCAGACUGACCAUCGGUCUGAGGGUGAAAAGUUGUACUCAACUGCACUUUAGUACCCAUAGCUUCUUGAAAUUUCACCCAAAAUCGCGAUGUAAACUGUGGACCUCUAUCUGACACUAUCGAGAUUGGCACUCUAUGCAACUGUACAAUCUCACUAAUAAACAAUUCCGCCAGUUUUGCAUAUCCAUAAGUAAUCUUAACUGGCAGAAAAUGGGCUUAUUUUGUCAACCUGUCAACAAUCACCCAUAUCGAAUCAUAACCCUCCUUACUCCUAGGCAAUCCUGUCACAAAGUCCAUUGUGAUCCUUUCCCACUUCCAUUCUGGAAUCAACAAUGGUUGCAACAAUCCAGGAGGUUUCUGGUGUUCACCCUUUACCCUCUGACAGGUCAAACACCUAGAAACAAAAUCUGCUACAUCAGCCUUCAUCUUAUUCCACCAAUAACACACAUUGAGGUCUUUAUACAUCUUGGUGGAACCUGGAUGCAUUGUGUAAACUGUCUGAUGUGCCUCUACCAUCAAUUCUCUCCUCAGAUCAUCUACAUCAGGUACACAAAGACCAUUCCUAUAUCUCAGCACAUCAUCAUCAUCUAUCACAAAACUUGCAGCCUUACCCUGCUCAACCUCAUUUCUGAUCCUGAGUAGUGAAACAUCUUUCUUCUGAGCUGCUUUUAUCUUAUCAAACAAAUCCGACUUAACCUGAAAGUGAGCAAUCAUUGCUCCAGCUUCACUAAGAUCAAAUCUGACUCCUUUAUCCACCAACUCAUACAGCUCCCUAAUCAGAGGUCUUUGUACCUCCUGAAUAUGAGCUAAGCUCCCUGAUGAUUUUCUACUCAAAGCAUCGGCAACUACAUUUGCCUUACCUGGGUGGUACUGUAUGAUACAAUCAUAAUCCUUCAGCAGUUCCAUCCAUCUCCUCUGCCUCAGAUUUAGAUCCCUCUAGUGAAAGAUGCACUUCAAACUCUUGUGAUCUGUGAAGAUCUCACAAGUUUCACCAUACAAGUAGUGCCUCCAAUUCUUCAAAGCAAAAAUUACAGCCGCCAUCUCCAAAUCAUGUGUAGGAUAGUUCUGUUCAUGCUUCUUCAGUUGCCGUGAAGCAUAGGCAAUAACCUUGUCAUGCUGCUUUAGAACACAUCCUAACCCCACUCUCGAAGCAUCACAAUACACUGUGUAACCACCAGAACCUGAUGGUACUGCUAGAAUAGACGCUGUAGUCAAUCUCUCUUUCAACUCUAAGAAAUUUUUCUCACAAGCUUCAGACCACUAAAACUUAACAUUUUUCUGCGUCAACUUAGUCAAUGGUGCAGAAAUACAAGAAAAGUUCUCUACAAACCUCCGAUAGUAGCUGGCCAAACCUAAGAAACUUCUAUUCUCUAUCGCCGAAGUUGGCCUAAGCCACUGCUUAACUGCUUCAAUCUUUUGAGGAUCAACCUCAAUCCCAUUCCUUGACACUACAUGCCCAAGAAAUGCUACACUCUCCAACCAAAACUCACUCUUUGAGAACUUGCCAUACAACUGAUGAUCUCGCAAAGUUUGAAGCACAAUUCUCAAGUGCUGCUCAUGCUCCUCUCUAGACCUCGAAUACACCAAAAUAUCAUCAAUAAAAACUAUCACAAAUUGAUCAAUAAACUGUCCAGACACUCUAUUCAUCAAAUCCAUAAAAGUUGUUGGUGCAUUCGUCAACCCAAAAGACAUCACUAAGAACUCAUAAUGACCAUACCGAGUUCUAAAAGCUGUCUUCAAAAUGUCAUCCUCUCUUAUCCUCAACUGAUGAUACCCAGAUCGAAGAUCGAUCUUAGAAAAGAAUUGAGCUCCCUACAAUUGGUCAAACAAAUCAUCAAUGCGAGGGAGUGGAUAUCUAUUUCGAACAGUCACCCGAUUCAGUUGCCUAUAAUCUAUACACAACCUCAAUGACCCAUCUUUCUUCUUCACAACAACACCGGGGCUCGCCAAGGGGACACACUCGGUCGGAUGAACUUUUUAUCUAACAAAUCCUGUAGUUGCUCCUUUAGCUCCCUCAAUUCUGCUGGCGCCAUUCUAUAUAGUGCCAUUGAUAUUGGUUCGGUACCCAGAAUCAAAUCAAUACAAAACUCAAUCUCUCUAUAUGGAGGCAAUCCAGGUAAGUCAUCGGGAAAAACAUCGAUAAACUCCCUAACUAUAGGGACUUGAUCUCAUUGGGAAACUUCUUUCUCUACAUCUACUAUAUAUGCUAGGUAGCAUUGUGCCCCUUUUCGAGCCAUUUUCCUCGAGAUAGCUGACAACAUAAUUGAUGGAGACCCAAUUUUAUCUCCUUGAAAUACCAACCCAACUUCUUCAUCUAGAUCAAACAUUAUUUUCUUACCCCAACAAUUUACUGAAGCCCUAUGCUUUGCUAACCAAUCAAUUCCCAAAAUCACAUCAAAAUCAACCAUAUCUAAGACAUUUAAUUCUCCCAUAAAGAUCUUAUCUCCAAUUUCUAUUCCACAAUCCGAAUACACAUACUUCACUAAUACUAAUUCAUCUAGGGGAGUAAAGAUUGAAAUUGGGGAUCUUAAUAAAGUUGGUUGCUUAUCCAACCUCAUGGCAAAAAUAUAAGGACACAAAUAAAUGAGUUGCACCCAUAUUAAAUAAUAUUUUUGCUUAAAAAAAAAGCAAACAACAAGAAUAUGUUGAGGUGCGGAUGUACUACCUAGCCUCCUAUACCUUGCAUUUCUAAAUUGUACAAUAGGGACAUCAUCUUUAUUGUCAUUUACUCUAAAAGUAUCAAUUUUAUGUCUAUUCCUCGGCAUUUCCUAAAAUAAAAGUGAGAGCACUCAAGUCAUGCUAGAACAAUAGCAUGAUAAUUAUCACAGAAUUAUAGCAAAACAUGUCUAUCACAAGGAAGAAGACAUACUUGAUGAGAAUUCAAAAUUCAAAAACAACAAACAAGACGAUACGGAUCCUAAUGCUCAACUUAUUAUGAAAUUAAUUAUACUAUUGUUUCUUUAACCUAAAGCUCUGAUUACCAAGUUUGUCAUGACCCGAUUCCCGGAUCCAUGACCGGCACAUAGGCAAGGUUUCCCUCCAAGGUUCCAUACCUAUGCGAACCCAAACUUACAUACAAACUUAUCCUAACUCAAUCAGAGUUCAACGCAACAUUAAUAACAAAAUCAACUUCAUAAUAUAAUUGAAUUGUCUUAAUACAAGAGUUAAUAUAAUUUCAUAAUUUUGGAGCUCUAACUAGACAUAAAGGAAAAUGUACAAGUUACAAUAUAAUUUAAUAAUCAUAUCAAGUUUGUUUCUCUUUAAUUUAAAUAUGGAGUAGACUUUUAUUCUGGGAUUUUUGAUGUAACCUUACUAUGAAUAUGUGAACAAUUUCUUUGAUUGAAUUAUUACAUUAAGAUGUUGAGUAUUUCAUUCUAUGUGUAAUGCUUGCGUAUGUUUGGCCAACAUCUGCAUGAUUUAGAAUUCAAUUUGAAACUGAGAAGUGAUGAUUGUUUUAGCUAUUGUUUGAAAUACCUUAAGAAAUCUAUAGGAUAGAGAUAUCCUAGGAACUUUUGUAAUCGUUACAGGUUUUACAGUAUUUAAUUAAUUUCGACAAGUUCAGAACUUUCGUAGAGUAUAUGAAAUUUGUUUGUCGAAAUAAUUUAUUGAUGCUCGAGAGAGAUUAAUAUUUACAUUGGGAAAACCUGAUUAUCAACAUUAGGCGUAAUUAAUUUAAUCGAGAAAGUUCACAUAGGCAUAGUUACGGUAAGUCAUAAAUCCUAGAACCAGUACAAUUGAAUUCAUUAAUAUUUAAUCAUUUGGUUGCUUCUUUUUUUUUUAAUCAUUAAUUUUUGUUUCAUAAACUAUCUUAUUCGAUUCCUCAAAUAGAUCAUAAUUUAAAAGACUUUGGUAAUUAGUAGUCAUUUUUACAAAUCCUCGUGGGACGAUACUCUACUCAUCACUUUAUUACUUGUUACGAUUCAUGCACUUGCGAAAUUAAUCAACAAUAUCAUAAAAUUUAAAGGAAAAGGAAUACUAACAUGCAAAGAAAGUAUUUACAAUAUAAUUAAAUAUUUCAAAAUGGUUAAUUACAGGAUAACUAAAAAUACUACAUGCUAAGCUGAACCUUUAUAAAUACAUCAAGGUUUGCACAAAAGUAUACUACAUAAACACGUUAAUUCCUUUUUGUUUUAAGUUAAAUAUUUAUAUAAGCUUCACAAAGUAGAGUCCUAAACUAAUGAUCUUCCUGAAUGUUUGAUGGACCUGUUACAUAAAUAAACAUACCAUUAUGUUGAUAAAGAAUAUAUGUAUGCUCAUGUAAUGAAUACGAAUGAAGUAUUAAUUUUCUAUCAAUCCAUGAGAAUUCUAACAAAGAACUUAUAUUUUGCUUGUAAAUCUUUAAAACUGAAUUAACACUCAUUUGUAUAUUCUUAAUUGAAUAAUCUUAUUUACUUGCAUAAACUAGGUGACCUUGUAAGGUUUAAUCCUGUAAUUCAUUUCCCGGCAAUCCUAUCACGGAUGCCAUUAGCCGAAGCUAAUCGUGUAAAUCAUAUCCCAAAAUCAUAUCCCGGCAAUCCUAUCACGGAUGCCAUUAGCCGAAGCUAAUCAUAUGAAUCAUAUCUCGGCAAUAGCCGAAGCUUAUCAUAUGAAUCAUUUCCCGGCAAUCCUAUCACGGAUGCCAUUAGCCGAAGCUAAUCAUGUGUAUCAUUUCCCGGCAAUUCUAUCAUAGAUGCCAUUAGCCGAAGCUAAUCUUGUAAAUACACUAGGUUUUAUUUACAUUGAACGAUAUUUAUUAUAAUUGCAUUUACCAGAAGGAUUCUAAAUUGUAUGUGUAAAUAGGAGGGAAAAUCACGCACCUGCUUUGCCUGUCUCGCGACCUCCCCUAACAGAAGAUCCAAUCCUGGUUGCUCCUCCUGAAUCAUAAGGAAGUUUUUUUUUUUUGGUUAUGAUUCUUUCAAGCCGAUAUUAUAGAGAAUUCAUAUUCAUCCAUUACUCAUAUGUUACUUUCUAUGCAUGUUCAUUUCCUCAUAAUAACAUACAUACAUAUAUCAUGUAUAUUUUCAGAGUUAAUAUCUCAAUAUACAAGUGUUCGUAUGACUCAAUUCUUUUAUAUUCUUAUUUAUAGUAUUCACAUGAAAGUCUACUGUUACUGUCAAAUUUCCAACUGUUAUUGUCAAAUUUCCAACUGUUACUGUCUAACUUUGAACUGUUACUAUCCAAUUUCCAACUGUUACUGUCUGACUUUGAACUGUUACUGUCUGACUUUUCCAACUAUUACUGUCUGACUUUUCCAACCGUUACUAUCUGACUUUGAACUGUUACUGUUUGACGUUGAACUGUUACUGUUUGACUUUUCCAACCGUUACUGUCUGACUUUGAACUGUUACUGUUUGACUUUGAACUGUUACUGUUUGACUUUUCCAACCGUUACUGUUUGACUUUUCCAACCGUUACUGUCUGACUUUGAACUGUUACUGUUUGACUUUGAACUGUUACUGUCCAAUUUCCAACUGUUACUGUCUGAACACUCAUCAGAUUUUUAACUAUAUCUAAAGUUCUAAAACUCCAUUUUAACUGAGAUUGAUCUCGUUGGAAAGCUAAGACACGAGGCUACUAGUUCUCUGAGGGAGGAGAACCCAGUUUUGCCUCUAAGAUAGUCAAAAUUGUUCAUUUACUAAUUAGUCCUAUUGUCCUACAUAAUCAGUCACGACUCAGUCUCAGUUGGUAACCCAUAACUGGAGUUCUACAUUUUCAAAUUGAGCAAGACCAGUUUCCUAGGUUACCUAACAUUCAAAUCUACAAUUUCUAUGGGGAACCCGAUCCUAAUCCCCUCAUCCUCCUACCCGAAAUCUCAUCGAAAGUUAGGAGACAAGUCUGUCCAGAUUCGUCUCCCCCUCCCCUUCACACAAUACUUUCAUAAACUUAAUCUCAACAAUAAGUGCUUUUUUCCCAAUUUAUAUCUAAGAAUCCUAACCUAUGAUUCAAUAUCAAGGCAUCAAUUCUUUAUCAAAUUUAAAAAAGAAUUUUUUUAAGAUCAUGUUUAGAAUACCUUACCCGGUACAAAUUAAGAUUUUGAUCUUCAACCAGUUGAAGAUUUUCAACUCCGUCCUUUCUUUUCUUCUUGUUCAAUUUCCCUCCUGUCUUUUCUUCUUGUUCAAUUUCUUGGUAAUCCUUUGCUCUCAAGUGUUUAUCCCAUCUUUAAGCUCUUAGUCUUGGAUGGGUUCUUGAAAUUUUAGUGUUUCUCUCUUGAUUUCUCGAGAAUGGGUAUAAAACUCCCUAUUUUCUCUCCUUAUGGUUCCUACAGAUUUUUUUUUGUUGAGGAGAGAGUAUUUAUACUCUAUAUUUUCCCUUAUUUUUAUUUAGACCCCCUUUUUCCUUUAAGUGUAUUAUUCUCUUCAAUUAAAUCCAACCCUCAAUAGUACCGGGUUUAUUAUAAUGUCUCGAAUUAUUUCGCCCGGAAAUUUAUAUUCAAAAAUUUCUGAAUUUCUAUUUUUAUUUAAUCAUAUGCAUGAAUUUCUUCACUUUUAUUUAUUUAUUAUUUUUCCCGGGGUUUACACUAAUUGGGCGGUACUCUUUGAAUUCCAAGGUAAGCUUUUUUUUUCGGCACCAAUGUGAUAUAGGAGAGGUUAACCCCUUUCAGCAUAGACCCUGUUCUAAAAAAUACAGUAAUCAGGUCCAAUAAGUCUUCUGCAAUAAAAUCCCAAGCAAGCUUAUAGAAUUUAAAAUUGAAACCAUCUGGACCAGGACUCUUAGAACCAUCACAAUCCCACACACAUCUUUUAAUUUCAUCCAAGGUCACAUCUCGCUCUAGCCUAAGAGACAACUUUGAAUUUAACCUUUUAAAACCUACAGGACCCAUCUUUGCUUUCUUCCCAAUUAGAGCUUUAUACAGAUUAUAAAAAUAAUCAACGACAACAGAUUUGAUUUCUGGUAAAGACCGAAGUUCAGCCCCUUUAUGAUUGAUCAUCAUAAUUUGAGAUUUGGCUCUUCUGAAGUUAGCUAUCAAAUGGAAAAACUUGGUAUUACGGUUCCUUAGCUUGCACCACAACUGUCUAGAUCUCUGCCUCCACUUGCAUUCAACUCUAUUACUGUAGGUCCAUUUAUCCCUUAUAAGAGAUUCAAGCUUGAGGUGAUCUGAGGGACAUAGAGGAUCAGCCUCCUGUUUUCUCUCUAGAUCAUCAAUUUGGGAAAUCACAACCUAAAGCUUGUGCUCUUGAUCACCAAAAUCAUCUUCGUUCCAUCACCGAAGUUGAGCUGCUACAAAGCUAAGCUUUUUAAUAAAUCUGAAGCGUCCUAGGAAUGCAGUACACCCGUCAAACCAAAAGCCUCUAAUAAUGUUUUUGAAGUUAGGAAAUUGAAGCCAACAAUCCAAAAAUUUAAAAGGACUAUAACCACUCUCUAGGAGGCAAUCAAACACAAGCAAGGGGCAAUGGUAUGACAUUUCUCUAGGUAAUCGAUGGAGCAUUACAUUAAAGAACUGAAGAAGAAAGGAUUCAUCUGAGAAAGCACGAUCUAGUUUGCUCAUCAAGCGAUUCCUGAACCAGGUGAAGUAGCCUCCAGCCAGUUGAUACUCAAUAAGGUAACAAGAAUCCAGAAAAUUCCUAAAAGCUGAAGAGCCCCUGAUAUGAAGAUAGCCACUGCUUCUAUCAAUCUGAUUUAAAGUCUCAUUAAAAUCUCCCACCAUCAACCACGGAAUAGGGAAGGCAUGUCUGAGGAUACACAAGUUCAUCCAAAGAUCCCGUUUUUCUAACAUAGAAUAAGAGGCAUAAACACCAACAAUAGCACAGAUAAAACCACUUUGCAUAUGCUGACCGUACAGACCAAUCCACCAUAACCAUAUUCAACAGAUGAAACCUGAAAUUUUGUAUCAAGAGCAAUCAUACCCCUUCUACUUCCUUUAGCCUCAUUACAAGCCCAAUUAACAUUGCUAUUGUUCCAAACAUGAAAAAUGAAAGAGUCUGUGCAAGUCUUAAUUUUUGUUUCUAGAAGAAAGCACACAUCAAUAUUAUGAAUAUCAAUAAGCCUACCCACAGCCCGUAAUUUUCCAGCCCUACCCAGUCCACAUAAGUUCCAAGAGAGAACCUUCAUAAAAAAAAACCAGAAAAAAUCCUAACCAAAGCAGAGGAAACAAAGGACUUACUGGACAGCCCUCCAGUCAGCCUCCUCUUGUUGAAGCUGUUUCCGAAUAUCUCCUUCAAAAGCAUAAAGGUUGGAAUUGUCCCCAAUAAGCAAAGCUUCCCCAAUCUGGACCAUACCCUGAACUUCUCGAUCUUCUGAACUCAUAGUAGCUUCUUCAUCUCCUGAUUGUACAGAUCCUGUUAUACAAAGAUGUUUAUGAGAAUCCCCAAAAUUUUGAAAAUGGCGUCUAUUCCUCAUGUGAACAUCUGAGUCAUCUGUAGAUUCUUCUAUGUCAUCCGCGUGUCUCUGUAAAGUCCCAUGAAUUGUUAAAAGUUUUGUCUUUCUUCGUCUAGAGCAAAAUUUCACUUGACUGUUGUCCUGUUGAGUAAGAUCUCUAGAGUUGGUAUACACAGUAGAACCCAACUUUAAGGGUUGGCUUGCUUCAUCCAUGUGGGGCCGCCUAUCUUGAAUUGGCUCAUGGGCCUACUCAUAAUUGGAGCAAGAAAAAGAGGAGGUACUGUCAAGGAAGUCAGAGCAGUAAGUACCCAAACUAAGCUGGGCUUCUAAUGUAAGGGGGUGGCCCGAAGUAUCAUGACCAAGGUCCACUAAAUGAUGAGCUUGAACAUUAGAGUCUUGCACCUUGCUAACAUCUGCAGCAUUGUUGCUAGUGGUGCUGACGUGAUGAUUUAAGUUUUGAGUAUAUCCCAAAAUUUCAGGGAAAAGAUCUGUAGACAUUGUUGGGAAGUGGACUUGCCCCCCUAGUUGUUGCAGUGCAUUUAUGAUGACAAGAGAGCUGUGGUCUUGGAGCCUAGUUGGAGCUAAAUAGAUAGCCUUUCUAUAAGCUGGAUCACCAGCUAGAUAUGGUUUAGCAGUUGCCGCCUCUUCACAAUUUGAAAAAGAUUUCAUUUUCUCCCUCGUUUCAAGCCCCACAUCAUGAUUAGUUUCAACUGAAAUAUUUGCUAUAGUUCCAUCCGAACUAGAUUCAUAGCCACAGGUUGUGUACCCAUCUUCCAAAACUAAGUUACUAUGGAAGGUGUCAAUGGAGUAGCAAAUUGAGUCAGCCAUGGGAUAGUGAAGACUGUCAAUUUCGUCAAUACAAAUGGUAUGAUCUUCCCCAUCAAUGUGCAAGAUGAUUGUCUUCCUUAUAUCUUCAUCACUUCUUGUACCAAGCAAUAAGUGUAAAGAUACAAGGGCUGAACGUCUAAGGCCUAAACGGCCAAAGCCAAUAAUAUCUCUUGUAGAUCUGAGAAGAGUUGCUAGACAAUUUCUGUACGUUCCAUCCUACUAUUGGCAAUCCUUGUAUGGAGAUCCAUGCUAACCUAUCAAUGGCACAAUCUGUAGAGAGCCAUGGCCAAGGGCGGAGGCAUGCAUGGGCUAGGGUGGGCUCUAGCCUAGAUCAAGAUUUUAUCAAUAUUUUUUUAUUAAUUUUAUGUAAAGAAAAUUUGUAAUUUUUAAUUGAGGUAUCACAAAAUUCUGAAAAUUUACAUGGAGCCUUCUAAUAUUAUGCUUUAGCUAGGGUUAAAAUUUCAGAAUUUUUGGAGAAAUUCAGAAAUUUGAUAAAAAAAUCACAAUUUGACCAGUUUUACGUUAUUGGGUGUAAUUUUCAAUCCGACCAUCAGAUUGAGCUGAAACUUUAUGAGAAAUCUUAAAAUAUAUUGAAUAAAAUCUGGUUAAAAUUUUAGGAUGAACAGAGUGUGGUAGUGCUAACAAAAAAAAAACAUCAAACAAAAGCAAAACGACUCAUUAAAGGUAAAAUGAUUAUUUGCCAUUAAAAAAUAAAACAAAUCAGUUCUUUCUUCCUUUUAUAUGUUGCCGACUGAGCAGAAGUAGAAUAGAAAAGGAAAGAAAAGAAAAGGCAAGAGAGAGAGAAAAAAAAAAGUAAGGGGAAAACAUAAAACAAAUUCAAGGAAAAAAAAAAGAAAAAUGAGAGAAUAACCUUGUAAACUUACAAAGUCCAACUUAUAAAAUAGUAAUCUAAGGAAGAAUCAAGUGAAGGAAGGAGGAAUUGAGAGAGGGAGAAAAUUUAAUUACUUUAUUUUUCAGUUGACAUGAGAUUGUUAUUUUAUCCUGGUUGAGUGUUUGUUAUAAUAUCGAUUCAGAUUCGAUUAUAGAUGAAUUAUAUUCCACAAAACAUCAAAGGAUGUAACUUUAAUAGUGAGUUUAUUUUUACUUUCACUUUAAUUUUAUAUACUUUUAAAUUUAUUUUUUAAUAUUUUGGGUAGUGUAUUUGAAUUAAAACUUUACUGUUAACUUUAAAAAUUCAUGUAUAUGAAUUAAUAAUUUAUCUUUAAAAAUAUUUAUAUAUUUAUUUAAUAGCCCAGGACAGUAAAAAUUCCUGGCUCCGCCUUGGCCAUAGCCUUAUAUCAUCAAAAUAUUUGUCCCAAAAAGGCAAGUCAGCCUCAAAAGCAUGCAUCAUGGAGGGAUGAUCUUCAAAUAGGAGCAGAACCUGUGAAGCACCAAGAAACCUCAUUCCGGUUGAUUGAAUAUCACAACUAAUAAGGUCAUUUUGAAUCUUUCCAUAGUUUGCACCUGCAGAUAUGGAUGCAAGCAAACAAUUGUUUAACCAUGAUAUGUCUUCUAGUUUUGAAGAGUAAAUGACAGUUUCUUUCAUCGAAUCAAGUUUAGGUGGCUUUUGAGGAAGACAAGUUUCUUGCGCAGACAUUAGAUGGUGCGGGGUGUCCAUAGUUUGCAGAACUGUUGCAUAGGUUCGGUGAUCUCUUGUUCUAAAAGGUGGGCUUUUCAGUCUAGCUACAGGUUUAAGGGGAUUUUGUGGGAUUUUGCCUUGGGUGUGUCUUGUUUCAAAUCUUGCUAAGUUGACCCACAACUUCUAAGAGUCAAACCAAAUAUUAUUUAAGCUGCGAAGUAAAUCAUCAGUUGAGUCUUUAGAGGAAAGGGUACAAAACCCAAAUCGUCUUCCAGCUUUGUUUGGUUUUCUUGCCAUAAAAAUGCUAAAUUGGGAGUUUGAUGUGUUGAAUGCCAUAUCAUGAAAUUUAGGAAAAACAUUCAAAACCUUUAUAGUGAACACGGUUUUUCUGUGCUGACUUUGGGGCAAGGAAGGUAAUUUAUGUUAUGGAUGUCCUCAGUUUGUCUUUAACGAGGCCAAGCAUCCUAUAUAGAAAUCCUGAAGUUCCUUUAAAACAAAAUUCUAUGUCAGGAAUUUUAGGCCUUGUCAGUUCUAGGUAAUGCAAAAUUGUGUUUAAAUGAGCAUAUGUAUUUGAGCAACAAGGAGUUGGUGUUUGUUCAUUAUUAAAAUCCCCUUUAAGUGAGACAAGCUGUUUGUGCAACAAGGAGUUGAUGAGAUUAGGUGGAUGAUUAGUUCUAGGAUGACUUGGUUCCUUAGAGCACCAUUUGCAAGGUCACCUUUUCCCUUGAACAUGAUGAAAAACCGUGAGAUUUUAUUAGGAAAUAAAAAGUUAGGAUAAGGGAGAUGACUACUUAGAGGUUGGUAAUUAGGAAGUGUUCAUUGAAGUAAUUGCUUCGAUGAAAUUGACCUCCAAUAGAGAAUAUUUACUCAAAGGAAUGUUAUGGAAAAUAACCAUGCGAUUACUUUUUCCCAUUGUCAACCAAGAAAUCUCUACCUUUAAAACAAAUAUGAGGUAAACAAUCAAUUAAUUUUGGAUUACAUUAGUUUUUGGGGCGUUUCAGUUAGAAAUAUUCAUUUAUUUUGUUUCGGUUUCAGUUUGACAUUUCUAAAAAUCAAUAAACUGAACCAACCCAUAGUUUAUGUGCAUUCAAUUUUAGAUUGCGUUAGUUUGAGUUAGCAACCUGAACCUGAUUUGGAUUGAUUCAGCAUAAAUGAACAUUGUUUCGGUGAAAGGCUUAUCAAUAGUUACCUUUUGGAAAUGAUUAUUAAUUGUUUCAGCUAAAAAAUAUCCGAACCAGACCAGACCAAAACUGAUCAACAUGUUGGAUUGGGUUGGUUUGAAAAUUUUUAAUUUUUUCAAUUUUUUGUCUGGUUUUUAUUUUUCUGAAACCCAUACUCUUAGUGAUUAAAAUAUCACAAAAUCAAUAUAGAAUGUCACAUAAUCUUGUUGAUUCUAUGUCUAUAACAAUAUUUCAAAAAAUAAAAAUAAAAAUAAAAUAUUUGAUAAAGCAAUUUAGCUCAAUCCUUGUAUAAAUUAAGAGGUUAUAAUAUUUGUUGAUAGCAUUUGGAAACAUACUAGUGUACCAUCUUUAAUAAUGCUUGUUACUAUGUAAAUAUACAAGCACGAUUCCCUAAUCAUAGCUCCAUAAAUCAAAUAUGAGCCAUUAGUAUUGAAAUAACAACUGCUCUUCAAUUCAUCAUCCCACUUGAACCUACAUUGGGUAGCACUCUUUCGACUUUAAUUAGAAAAUACACUCAUUAGUAUAAUGUUGCAGUUGCAGUCGACGUUUGUGUCCUGUUUCCAUGGGUUAAAAAUAUCAAAUGUUGUGUGCAUACACUGAUCUAAUAAUUUGAAUAUAAGAGUUAAAAGCUUCAAUGCAUGUAAAGUGCUGUAAUACCGAGAGGCGAAUUGGAAGCCCUUACAUGACAGUUAUAUGCAGACAACAUAAUAAUAAUAAUAAUAAUCCACUUUUUAAAAUGAGGCGUGCAAAUGAUUUUAAAUAAACAUUUAAUUGAUUUAAAAUUAGAAAAUCAACCCAAAUCUAAAUUGACUAAUUUUAUCUCUCCUUUGUAGUUUUUCAACAAAUCUUUCUUUCUUUUCUCAAACUCAAGAACUAUAUAUAUAGAGGUAAAAUAAAGUUUUGUACUGAAAAGUUUCAUUUCUAAACUAAAAGGACCAAAAAUAUUUUUGUCAAGAUCACAAGGCAUGGAAGUGCUGACUUAAUUUGUACCAAGGCUGAGCAUUAAGUUAGUGUCAACUUGUAUUAAGGUCCAUUAAGCCCACGUGACCGGCUACCUUAGUUUUCUCAUUUAUGAAGUUGUGUACAAGUUCACAUACAUUAUUCCAAUCACAUGCCAUUAUAUUUUUAGUAAACGACUAGAAAUAUUAACAAUAAUGUUUUAACAAAUAUUAACAAUUUAUUUUCAUAAUAUUUUUUUCUUGAAAAUAUAUCAAAAUAAUAUAUUUUUUAUUUUUUAAAAUUUAUUUUUAAUAUCAGUCUAUUAAAAUGAUUUUACAAAAAAUUAAUUUUAAAAAAAAUCGAUUUUUUUUUUAGUUAUGUAACAAACAUACUAGCUUAUUUUUAUUUUUUAAAUGAUUUUAUUUUAUCGAAGAAACUUAACUGCCUCAUUGUUGUAUGCGUUAUUAACACCAAAAUUUAAACAUAGAAACCAUAUUUUUUGUUACAAUUAAUAUAUAACUGUAUAAGAACAAAAAUUUUGUGUUGAAAUACUUAAUUCAAUUAAAAUAUCUUUAAAAUUUUAUUAACAUAACUAAAAUAAAUUUUAGUUACUAUUUUUAUUUUUAUUUUUUACAUGAAACUAAUUAUCAGGAGUUGUAGUAACCUUUUUUCACAAAAAUAAAUUAUUACUACUUUUAUUCAACUUAUCUCUAAUCAAGAAAAAAAACUAAAACAAUAAUAUGUAAUCUCUAAAAAUAUUUAAUCAUAUUUUUUUUCUAUGUUUUCCUAUUUAUAAUCAUAUAAAUUGUUUUUACGAGAGUGAAGGGUUUAAAAAAUAUAAUAUUGUUCUCUGAUCAGAUGGCCGCCGGUGGGCAGCAAAACAGCUUUUUACAAAUAUUAUAAUUUGUACAUAAUAUGUUUCAUAUUAACAAUUGUUUGCAUUCCUUCAAAGAUGAGAGCAGCUUCUCUCCUGCUACAAGUACAGGGAGGAACAAAUAAUAAAAACACAAAUAAGCUCACCGUGUAUAUAUGAUUUGAGUCCAAGGAUCAAUGCACCACUUGUUUAUUUAAUGAGUUGAGACUGAUAUAAUAUUUGAAACAAGACAACAAAUAAUCUAAUCUAAACCCUCACCUGCAAACUUUAGUAGCAUGUUUACUCUCUAGUCUCUAACUAGUUUCGUUGCCUACGAAUCGCUGCAGUUACGAGUUUGAGAUUCGAAAAAUAGACUUGUGAGCACUUCUUAAAAAAUAGUAAAUGUAAACCCAUAAUAAAUAAAGUUGAUCUAAUUGAAAACCGAUACGGCUAAGUCAAACCAUAUAGGAUGAUGGUCAAACUCCAUCUAUAGUGAAACAAAAAAAAAAGGUCAUGGAGAUGGAGAUGGAGAUGUAUUUAUGGACCAAUGAAACAAGUUUAAAAUUAAGAAGAAGUUUGUUCGCGUCAGACCAGAAUAAAAGCUCAAAAAGUUAUAAUUUUUUAUUUGAUUAUUUGAUCAUGCUCAAAUUUUCACGUGAACCAUCGAAUCUUUAAAUAUAAAAAAUCUUGUUUAGGCCUCUAGUUUUGGCAGUUUUGUGAUUUUCCUUGUUAUUUUUUUAUUUCUUGCUUGUUUUGGAUUUUAUAUUUCUUUCCUUUGUAAUUUUGGUUUCUGUUUUUGUUUCCUAGUUGAGGUAAGCUUCCUAACAUAUUUAAGGCUUUGUAAACCUCCUGAGAAGAAAAAUUUUAUUAUUAUUAUUUUAGAGAAAAUAAACUUGGGAAUUUGAGGGUUCACAUCUACAGUCUCUUUUGCUCAUAUAUUUUUUGGUGUUCUUUAAUUAUUGUGUUUAUAGCUUUCGUCUGCAUCAAGUUUAAAUCUCUUUGAAAACAAAAAAACCGACCAAUUUUGAUGUAGUCAAUUCUAUAAUAAUUAGUGAUUAUAAGCAGUCAGGUGUGAGUCUACCAUAACUAGAUGAAGAUUUGCCCAAGAUAAAUUAUGUUGAUAGUCUAGCAAAUGCAUUUAUGGACCAAUGAAACAGGUCUAAGUCUAAGAGAAGGUUUUGUCACGUUAGACAGGGAUAAAAAUCCAUAAUUCUCAAAACAGGUAACCCUGCGCAGAUCUUCAUCUGUCUUUUCCCCCUUCCCCUCUUUCCUUUAUCGAAUCCAAUUCAUAACUAAUUUGGGUUGCUUUUGUGGCAGUUUCAAUGAUUCACACAGCUAUUGAUAACUUUUACGUAACUGGUAAUGAGCUACAAAGUUGGGUCUGCUUUAAGGUUCCUUUCUUUCUUUCAUCCAGAUUAGCAAGGUCGAAGUCCUUUCUUUCAUCCAGAUUAGCUGGCUCAAUGCAAUUAGGGAAUGGCAAGAGGAGUUCGUUGGCAAUAUGAACUGUAGGGAAUUUGUGAAUUUACAUAUUAGUUGUGUGGUUCUAGUAAUUGUUCGGAUGAUACGGUACAGAUAAAAACUCACAAACUCACAGAAAUUGGUAAUAAGAGAAAAGAAACCUUCAAGAAAGUAUCAAACGAGGAGCAACUGUGAUUUGUAUGAAGCUACAAGUUUUGCAUAAAUAUUAUCAGUGAUUAGUUGUUAGUGUUAGAUAGCUAGUCAAUAAUGUUUUAUAAAUUGAUUUAAUGGUUAAAUAAGAACUCUGUAGAUGCUAGAACUAGUUGUAAUAGAUCACUAACAUGUUAUGAUAAUUGGCAAUGACUCUUGCCAAUGAGAAACAAUAGCUAGUCAAGAACAUUCAAUUAAUGGUCUGAUUACAAGUAUAAUAUGGUCACAUUAAUUUGAUCGAAAAGUAAGAUCAUGUUAAUGAAAGUCUGAGGAGUGUAGCUCAACUGAUCAGAUCCUGAAUUUGCUUUCUAAAACUUAUAAGUUCAAAUUUCACAAACUUCAGGGCAACUAGAUACUUAUAUUAUCGUUAACUUUAGGAUUCAUUAGAUUAAUCGAGAUACACAAGCUAACCCGGAUAUUCAUAUUAAUCUAAAAAAAUCAUGUUCAUGGAAUUAAAUGCCAAAUGAAAACAUGCACUAUGACUUAUUUUAUCGCAUGUUUAAUAAAUUAUGAAUUAUAAAAAAAUUUGUUUUCAGAGUUGUUUUAAACGGUGGUUUUAUUAUUGUCAUAUAUACGGUGUAUCGCAUGUUUUAAACAUGCACUAUUGUCUUUUUCUUCGUCUCCCACUUGUCCCCGUUUUGUCUUUUAAAAAUUCUAAUGCUCCACUACUUUCGGUGGAGUUCAGAGAUUUGUUUUUACGUUGCUACAGUUGCCGUUGGGAACCAAGGAUUCCUUACCAAGGAGAUAACAUUUUUAAAAGAAAAAGGCAAAAAAAAAAACAAUUAAUAAAAAACUACAACCAUAUCAAAAGAUGAGAUUACUUUGUUUAUUUAAUUUCUCUCUACUUGUCCAAAAAAUAAAAAGUUCUGGUUUAUAGCCAAAUAAAAUUUAAUAAAAAAACUCAACAUUAAAAUAUAAAAUUAAAAAAUUAUAUAUAAAAAAAGUAAAAAAAAAAUAAAAUGACCAAUAAAAAAAUUAAUUUAUAAUUAUAAAUUAAAUGACAUAACAUUUUUAAAAGAAAAAGGCAAAAAAAAACUACGUACAACCAUGUCAUGGUGCAUCUUGGACCACCGUAUCAAAAGAUGAGAUUACUUUGUUUUUUUAUAUAUGAUAAAAAAUAUAAAAAUUAAUUUAUAAUUAAUUUAAUAUUGACAAAUAAAAUUCAAUAAAAAAGCUCAACAUUAAAAAAUAAAAUUAAUACACACCCUUCUGCUUGUCUUCAUCCUGAAAACUGUCACUUUGAUUAUAAGAACUUGCAUCAAGUAAAUUAGUUAAGAAAAACUUAUUGCAUUGAAUUAAAAUCGGUGUUGAUGUUAUUGAUUGGUUGAAACUUGGGUUUUUGGUAGUAGAUUUGCCCGGAGUGGAGCCAAUUCUCUCGGGAACAAGAACCACAGGAGCUCUAGGUAAGGGUUAUAUCCUUACUUUUGAAUUUCUUCUUAAAUGCAAGAUGAUUAAGUGUUGUUAAAUUAUAUAUAAAUAACUAGUAUCAAAGAAUACUGAGUCCAAGAAAUAAAUUGAUUUUGGAAUUCCCUUAGAUAAAAUGACUUAAUUAGGGCGGGUUAAAGGAAUUUCCAAGAAAUAAAUUGCAUGGGUCGCUGGAAUUCCCUAAGAUAAAUUGUCUUUGAGGUGGAUUAAAGGAAUUUUCUUUUUCUUUUCUUCUUCUUUCGUUUCUUGGAGGAGAAAGUGGGUAGUGCUGCUCGUUCCGUUUCUUUUUCUUGGAAACCACACAGAGAAUUCUUGGAUCUGUUAUUGUUUUUCUAGCUAAUAGUCUUUUUCUCUCAUUCACUCAGUUUCUUUGGGUGCGGACUAGUUGUUUUUGGUCAAGUAAUAAUCUCUUCUUUUGUUCUACUGAAAUUCUUGACGUUUUGGUCGGGAAUAAGUUUAGCUCCUUUUGCUUGUCUAGAAAAUUGAGGGAAAGUAACAGAGAUAAUUUAGAACCCUUUAAGAUUUUUGCCACUAUGGUUUAGUCCUUCACUUUCCUGGAGUUAUGAGAUUCGGUUAAAUGGAAGAAGGGGCUGUUUCUGGUUUUGAGAUUGAGAGAUGGGGUCUUGAAAAGUGGCAUGGCUGGUGGUUGUUUAGGCUAUCAUUGUGUGGGUGGUCGCCAAAAUUCACCAGGGAGAGGAAAUGGGAAGACACAGUAUAUCUUCUUUUUUUUAUUUAGUCUUGACCGAUUAAAUAAGCUGAUUUUAUAUGAAUUAUAUAAAGAAAAAAAAACAAGAAUAACAAACAAGAAUAUAUAUAAUGAAAAAAAUACAUCAUUAUAUUGAAUUGAAGGAUGAAAUUAUAAAUAAUUUUUUGUUUUAUAAAAGGGUUGGGAAAAAAAAUAAGAAAUCAUAAGAAUAAGAAUCAAACUGAAAUCAUAAGAAUAAGAAUUUCUCAACAUGUUUUUUUACAUUAAAAAAAUUCUAAAUUUAAAUCGAAAAACUUAUACACGCAUCGAACUAAAUAAAUCACAAACAAUUGUGUAAAUAAAUGAAAAAAAUGAAGUCAUUACUGAUAAUUAAAAAUGCAAGUGGAAAAAUUAAGAAACAAAUAUAGAUAAAGUAUUUAAUAUUACAACAUGGGUCAUUUAUCUGGUUAUAUUUAAUGAAUUUGUUUGCUAAAAUCAAUCUAUAAUAGAAAUCAACACACAUAAUUUUUUUUAAUAUAAUAAAAGGAAAAAAAAACUAUGCAAGGCUACACAUAUUCAAAUUAUUAUAAAAAUUAAAUACUUAAUCUAUCUAGAAUAUAUAAAAAAUAUUUAUAGAUAAAUAUUACUAACCUCUUAAAAAAUUAAACACAAGCAACAAAAUUAAAAAUAAUUGAAGAAAGACUACAUUAGGCCAAAAAAAAUCAUAGAAAGGGGGUAUUAAUAAAAACAUCAUUUUUAAAAUUAUUUUCAAAAAUAUAUAUAAAAAAGUAUUAAUAAUAAAAAAAAUUCAAAAUGCAAUGCUGGAAAAUUAUAAGGACUUAUUAUUUAAUAGCUUAAAAAAACAGGGAACUAAAAUGAACUUUGCAAACAAAUUAUAGAGCUGCUAUCUAUUUUAGCUGAGUUUUUAACUUUAGUUCAUUGUCUUUUAAUUCAACUCUCAUCGUUAAAAAAAUAUGCAAUUCGACUCUGAUUUUAAUUAAAAAGAAUCGAUUGUGAAAAAAAAUUCAAGUAUAAAAUUAAAAAUUUUCAAAAAAUUACAAUAUUGUUGUCCACAAUUAAAUGAGUCUAAGUGAGUGGUAAUGAACAUAAAACCCCAUUUUCUUUUAAUAUAUACUAUAAUUUGGUGCUGUGAUACAUACUUUUAAAAAUAUUUUUUAUUUAAAAAUAUAUUAAAAUAAUUUUUUAUAAACAUAUAUUUUUUAAAUCAUAUAAAAUACUAAAAAUAUAUUAAUUAAAUAUUUCUAUAAAUUAAAUAUAAUUAUAAAAACCACUAUGAUUGGGACAACCACUCUAUCAUCCUCUUUUUCAUACUAAUUUUCAUCUCCUAGUCUCUACAAUACUGGCCUUACUUUCUUCCUUUGUCCAAAUAAAUUCCAAAUAAAAGAGAAAAAAAAAACAGAGUAUUUUUAUAAGAAAUAGGACAUCACAUAUUCAUAUAUUUUUUUCUUACUCUCCUCCGAUCUUUCUAUGUCUUCUUCCGUUUCUGCCUCCCUCAACCUCUCCUUCUCUAUUUCCACGUCCUUUCCUUUAUUUCUGUCUUACCUUUUCUUUUCUUUUUAAGCCUUUUUAACCUCUCUCUCUCUCCCACUUUUCUAUCCUUUCCUAGUGGGUAGAAAAAGUUGAACACGUGGCGACCAUCUAUUAGCUUUUGAGAUUACGUUUAUCUCCAUGUCACAAUAAAAUCUAAGGGUGAACAUGUGGAGAUAAGGUUGAACAUGUGGCGAUAAUCUAUUGGUUCCUUGGAUUACCUGGUCCUUUCUCAUAAACAUAGUUCUUUUAGCUUUUCUUCAAUACUGGCCCCCUCCUACGCGACCUUACUUUCUUCCUUCUUUUGUCCCAUCCUUUUCUUUCUCCUUUUAUCAUGCCGUGAUUUUAGGGUUUUUUUUUAUUCUUUCUUCUUUAUCCCAUUCCUUUCUUUCUUCUUUUAUGAUGCUGUGAUUUUAAGAUUUUAAUUUUAAAUGUUUGAAUAAGUACAUGUUUUUUAAAAUAUUUUUUUAUUUUUUAAAUAUCAAUAUAAAAAUAAAAAAAUAAAAAAUUAGAAUAUAAAAAUUUAUUUUAUAUCCUAUCAUUACCUGGAAAUCGCAUAAUGUAAUGAUCAAUAUUAUACGAUGAUAGACAAAUUUGGGGUUGGCUGAAGGCAGGGAUUCUAUUGGUCAACGGAUGUAGUAAAAUUAAAUGUUUCACUAUAAAUGACAAUAUUGAUACUUUAAAUGAAUAAAUGAUUUUAAUAUCGUUAAAAGAUGUUUUUACCUUGUUAUUUGUUCAAAUAUGGUAUACCCAAGUUCCGGCGAACACCGGGAAGUCUCCAUUUUUAACACAGAAAAUACUAGAGUUAGGGAUUGUUCGCAUGAAAUCUAGCUAAGUUCUUGCAUAAAUUAAGAGGUUAUAAAAUUAUUCGAGAAUUUCUAAAAUUUCGUUAAAUAGAUUUAGAGUUUAGGAAUUUAUUGUCUUAAGAUUUGAUCAUUUUUUGUUUUGAAUAAUUUUUAAAAGGUUGGGUUGUUGCAAACUAGAAGUCGUUCAAUUGUCCGUUCUUCAACGGUAAUUCACAUGAACUACUAGUAAAAAAAUCUCACAAGUCCCUAUUUAGGAGAAAGAGAUUGUUAUGCCUGGAGUGUUAUCUCUUUAUUCUGUUACAUACGUAGUUUUUCUGUUUAACAGAUAACUCCUAAAAAAUAAGAGGCAUAGCUUAUUAUUUAUAAGAAAAUCUGAAAAACUCUAUAAAUUGACAAAAUAUCAAUUUCCUUCUUGAAUAAUAUCUAUAUAUUAAUUUAAGAUAAUUUUAUAAAUUAACUCAAUCAAGUUCUUACUUGAUUUUUCUAGAUCUGAAAAUAUAAUCUUUGUAUUAAUUAUAUUAUAGUCUUUAAUUUUUAAAAUAUAUUUUAAAUAAAUUAUACUUAAUUAAAUCAUCUCAAUAACAGUUAGAUUUCUAAUAUAUUGAUACAAAUAUAAAUUUUUGAGUUAGGGAUAACUUUCCAUAAUUCUCUCAAAAACAGGUAGCCAUGCGCAGAUCUUCAUCUCUCUUUAAUUUCCCGUUACCCAUUUCCCCUCUUCCCUUCUUCCUUCCAUCGAAUCCAAUUCAUAAAUAAUUUGGGUUGCUUUUGUGGCAAUUUCAAUGAUUUACACAGCUAUCGAUAACUUUUUUGGCUGUUAAUAUCGUAGUAUUCUCUAAAAAGCCAAUGUCAUGGCAUUUCCAUGCUUUCUAAAGAAAUAAUUUAUUUAUUUAUUAAGCAAUUCAUUUAGUUUUUUCAAUAUUUAAUUUAAUUUAUAUUCUUAAUAAUAAUUUUAAUUCAAACAACAAGACAACAGAACACCAAAUAAUUUAUUGAUUUUACUCAUAACACAGCACAAUUAUUUAUUAUUAAAUAAUUUGAUAUGGUUAAUCUCACAACAAAACACAAAGCAAACUCUUAUUCUUAAACUUGCAUUAAAUAUUGCUACUUGGAAUUUAUUAAUUUGUAUUAUACACGUACAUAAUUAUCUUUGAAGGCUUGUAUGACCUUUAUCUUAGAUAUCAUCUUAUUCUUUAUUCUUUAUUUUUAAUAAAAUAUUUCUGUCAAUCAGUUUAUUAAAAUAAUAUUUAAGUGAUUGUUCAAUUAUUUAAUUGUUUUCAAGAAGAUUAGGAAUUUUUAUUAUGAUAUUUUCAUUACUUUAUAAAUAAUUAUGUGUUAGGGACAUUUGAGCAAAAUAAUGUUACUCAUAAAAAAUAUUUUUUUUUAAAAUAAAAAAAAUGCAUGAAUUAAAAAUUUAUGUUUUUAAUUAAAAAAAUAUUUUUUUAGUUCAAAUCAUUACAGUUUCUUAGGAUACUUUUCCUGGUUGUUAUUACUUUUUAUAUCGUCAAAAACUCUUUUUUUUUUAAAGAAAAAUACAUGAAUUAGACUAGAAAAUUUUGAUAAUAUAUAUAUUGUCUAUAAUUUUAUUUUAUUUUGAGUGGUUUCUAUGAAUAUAUUGCAUAAUUAAAUAAAAAUUAUAUUAAAAAAGUUAGAUUAUAAAAAGUAUCUCGGGACAACGUUGGGCAUAGCUACACUAAUUUCUAAGGCUUUAUUUGAUUUUACGUUUCAAAAGCAUUUUUGAAAAUUUUUUAUUUUUUUCUUUACUUUAAAUUAGUAUUUUUUUGGUAUUUUCAAAUAAUUUUGAUACGCUAAUGUCAAAAAUAAUUUUUAAAAAAUAAAAAAAAUAUUAUUUUGAUGUAUUUCUGAAUAAAAAACACUUUGAAAAAUAAUAACAACCACACUUUAAAAAACCCUCUUAGAUUGCUUUGAUCUAAUGGUUUGGAUAGCUUUCACAAUCAUAUUUUUUUUUAAAAAUACAAUAAAAUCAAAAUAGCAAAACAAGAAGAAAGAACAACAGCAUUAAUUAGCUGCUUAAUACAUUAAUUAGUUGCUUAUUACAUUUUUAUGAUUUUGCAAUGGUAGGAGUUCUUAGCCUGCAUGAAAAGCAGAACACCACAUGAACAGCAGAACAAGGGCUGCCCACUUCCUGGAACUUCAUUGCUGCUGACUUUGGUGAUUUGUUCACACUACCAAUCUUUCCUUAACAACUAAGGAUUGAUUUUAACCACAUAUUUUUGCCGAGUUUCUCUGUUUCUCAAUUCAACCUAUUUCCUUCAAAAAAUACAAUUAAGCUUAAAAAAACUCAAUUAUGCAAAAAAAAUAAGUUCAAAUACUAGAUCGAAAACUUUCAAAAACUUUAUUAUUAAUAUCUACAAGUCUAGUCAAUAGUAAUGAGCAUAAAACUCCCUUUUCUUUUAAUUUAUACUAUAAUUUUGUAUUGUGACACAUACUUUUUAAAAAUAUUUUUUAUUUAAAAUCUUAUUAAAUAUUAUAUAUAUAUAUAUAUAAAAUAACAAGAAAUAUUAAAAAAUAUAUUAAUUUAAUAUUUUUUAAAUUAAAUAUAAUUAUAAAAAUCACUCAGACACAGUUAAAAAAAAAAAACAGCCUCCCUCACUGUUUUUGUCCUCUGUUUAUACGUGUUUUGAUUCUGACAACUACUCUAUUAUCCUCUUCUUUCAUGCUACUUUUCAAACUUUCUACAAGACUGGCCCUACGUGACCUUACUCUCUGCCUUCCUUGUCCCUUUCCUUUCUUUCUCCUUCUUUUCUCUCCUCACUUGAGUGUGUGGCACAGAUGGGACUCAUAGACAAUUACGUUUAAUUGCUUGAGUUUGAUCCUUUGUUGUGUUCGUUCCAUUAAUUCUACUUCUUUGCAAGUCUUUUCCCUUGAUGAUCUGUUUUUUUUUUAAUAAAAAAAGAAGAAAACUAAAAAAAACAUUGACCGAUCAUAGCUUAGGUUAAUUAUAUUUGUUGUUGGAAGCGAGCUGGUAUCAUCCAUGGAGGCGUCUAAGUGAUUAUCCUGAACCUUUCAUUCGUUUGUUUCUUUGCUAGGUGAGUUCUUUUACACAUUAUUUUUCUUUAUUUCUUUGUCACUGUCUCUAUAUUACUACGCAUAGUAUCUUAAGUAUGUCAUCAAAAUGCUUAUACCUUGCGUUGUUGCUUUUGAAGCUGGAUUCAAUACAGAGCUAAAGGCCUUCUCCAUUUCAUUGAGCAAUCAGUACCAGUGCUUUUCCCACAUAUUUUCUCAAGUUAAGGUAAUGAAAUUCCUAUUCCCAUUCUCUCUGCGCCUCUUUUACUUGCAAUGACUCACUCUCACGUUCUGUAUCCUUGUUUCUCUGAUAUUUUUGGCACAUAAUUAGCUGCUUAUUACUUUUUUAUUGUUGUGUUUUAAUUAUAUGAUUUUACGAUGGUAGGAGUUCUUAGUCUGCGUGAACAGCAGAACACCACAUGAACAUCAGAAAAAAGGCUGCCCACUUCCUCGAACUUCUUUGUUUUUUUUUUUUAACACUAAAAGAGGAGCCAAGUUUGACUUUCUUUGUUUCUUUCCUUUCUUUUUCUUUCUUUUCUCGGAGGAGAAAGAGGGUUGUGCUGCUCAUUUCGUUUCAUUUUCUUGGAAACCAUACAGAAAAUUCUUGGAUCUGUUGAUUGUUUUCUAGCUAUUAGUCUUUUUCUCUCAUUCACUCGGUUUCUUUGGGUGCUGACUAGUUGUUUUUGGUCAAGUAAUGAUCUCUUCUUUUGUUCCACUGAAAUUCUUGAUGUUUUGGUCGGGAAUAAGUUUAGCUCCUUUUGCUUGUCUAGAAAAUUAAGGGAAAGUAACAGAGACAAUUUAGAACCCUUUAAGAUUUUUGCCACUAUGGUUUAGUCCUUCACUUUCCUGGAGUUAUGAGGUUCGGUUAAAUGGAGAAAGGGUUGUUUCUGGUUUUGAGAUUGAGAGAUGGGGUCUUGAAAAGUGGCAUGGCUGGUGGUUGUGUAGGCUAUCGUUGUGUGGGCGGUCGCCAAAAUUCAGUUGGGAGAGGAAAUUGGAAGAGAGAGUAUAUAUAUAUAUUUCUUUAUUUUGCUCAAGAGAAACCAGAUGUGUCUUCUGUUUGUUCUGCACUAUGUUACAAGCUUGAUUUUUUUUAAAAAAAACUUGUUUUUAACCUAUUUUUUAUCCAAAAUAUUUAUAAAAUACUAUAUAAACCUUAUUAAACCAAUACAGUUAAAAAAAUAAGGAGCCUCUCUCCCUGUUUUUGUCCUAUAUUUAUGUGUUUUGAUUUGGACAACUACUCUACUAUCAUAUUUUUUUUCGUAAUAAUUUUCAAGCUAGUUUUUAAAAAAUUAAUUUGAAAUAAAAAUAAAAUUUAAUUUAAUUUAAUUUUUUAAAAAAAUACUUAAGAACAAACACGUAAUUUCUCUUCUUAUUCGCUACCGUGAUUUCAGGUCCUCAUUUCCUGCAUUAUUUGUAAGAGCAUGAAAAACAAAACAAACAAACGAGGCUAUCAAAAACUAAAACUUAAAAUAUAGAAAAAAAAAAGUACUAUUGUAGUCCACAGUAUAUCUGUGUUUGAAUGAACAAUAAUUUCACCAAUAUUUUAAUUUUUUUUGUUAUUAUAUUAUUAAAGUGUCCAAAGAAAUUCCAAAUAAAAGAGACAAAAAAAAUCCCAAUCAAAUAGAUAAACGAGCAUCACAUAUUCAUAUUUUUUUUUAUCUUUACUCUCCUCCGAUCUUUCAAUGUCUACUUCCGUUUCUGCCUCCCUCAACCUCUCCUAUUUCCACGCCCCUCUCUUAUCUCAACCGUUACUAAGAGCUCAAUUGUGAAAAAAAAUAAUUGAGUACCAAAUUGGAAAUUUUCAAAAAAUUCACUAUUAAUAUCCAUAAUGAAAUGAAUAUAAGUGAAUAGUGAUGAAGAGAAAACUCCUUUCUCUUUUAAUUUAUACUAUAAUUUGGUAUUGUGGCACAUACUUUUUAAAAAUAUUCUUUAUUUAAAAACAAAUUAAAAUAUUAUACAUGAAUAUGUGAAUUUGGUCAAUAUUGAGAAUGGGUAUUAAUGAAAACAUCAUUUUUAAAUUAUUUUCAAAUAUAUAUAUAUAUAUAUAUAUAUAUAUAUUAUUAAUUCAACUACAUAAAAUAUUAUUGAUUCGAUGAAAUUUAAUUUGAUUAAGUGUUUAGUGAUUUGAUUUGAUAAAAAUUAGCCAAAUUAAUAUGAAAAAAACAAAACAUUAUCAUUUUAAUAAAAAUAAUUAAUCAAAAGUUAACCUCGGCCCUGGUGACCUAUAAGUUAUAAUCUUUUUCUAAAUUAGCCCUUUGGUAAGGUGUAACAAUUAUAAUAGGAAGGAAACAAUUUAUUCUCCAAUGUCCUUUUCCUUAUUUUAAAUAAAAAAUGAAUUCAUUAAAAAUUAAUUAUUGAUUGCUAGCUCAGCCUGUAAAGGUUAGCCUGAUAUAUAGUUAAGGAUACACACCCUUGAAUUGAUUUUGUACAUGAAGCCAUUAGACUUCCAUGCACCUAAAAAGUUGAAGGAAUCUCAAAUUUUAUUGGUACUUAGGUAUCAAAUACAGAAAUAUAGUAAAUAAAAAUAAAUAAAUAGUAAAUAGUAGUAAAUAGAAAUGGAUUAAUAAAUAGUGGGUUCAUAGUUUCUAACGGCAAGGUCCUCUCUAUACACCAGAGCCCCUGACCGAAUCAAUGCUAUUGUUAAAUAAAAUAGCAUUUUUGGCUUUUGAGUCCAUUCUUGCAAGAGUAGAUGCGUUCAUUUUUGGCUUUUUAAUUUAAAUAAAAUGUGUCAUGCUUAACAUAUUAUUAUUUGCUCCCAAUGGGGAAUUUUGUAGCAUUUUCAAUUGAAAAUUAAGAAUUGAGAUAACUAAAUUUGCAAAAAUAGCAUAGUUUUAAAACUUAAUUUGGCUUUAAAGGUCGAUCCGGGACCUGAUGACCCGGGGUUAGAACCAAGCUGGGUUUAAAAAAAUAAAGAAAGUCAAAUAAGGGAUCAUGCAUAAACUAAUAAAAGCUUUGAUAUAAUAACUACAUGACUAAAUCAACACUUUAUUCAUGUUAAAUAACAAAGAUUAAUUGACCCAAUUUUUUAAUAUAAAUGUUCAUAAAAGAACCUUCAGCCAUUUUACAGUGAAAGAAUUUCCUAGAAGUCUAUCCUAUUUGUUGCAUCAAGUGAUUUUUUGAGAUGUAUAAUUAUAAUAUAAAUAUUUAUAUUGUCAUGUUAUUUUGUUAUUUUUGAAUUUAAUGUGUCAUGCUGGCUCAACUUUUUUAUUAGCAUUGUCAUUAGAAAUACAACAAUUUCGUUAAUAGGUGACUGAGACUUGAUGCUGUACUAUUUGUUUAGAAGAUUGAUACAAAUAUCAAAUAGAAUGAAGAACAAUUUCAUGUUUUCCUAGCAGAAUCCCUUGCUGAAUGGCUCAUCCCUUGUUCAAUGGUCUUUUUAAGCAGAUACCUUGCUAGCUAUUGCUAAACAGAAAACACACUGAUUAUGCUUAUGUCUCUUUUACUUUUUGAAACAAUGAAAGCAAAAGCAUUAGUAGGACACAGUAAGUUUGUCAUCUAAUUUCUCACCAUAACCUUCACAUUUCAUCUCUCAGCCGUUUGUUUUCACUCAAACUAUCUCCGGACCAGUUGUUGAUUUUGGAUCAUUUCCCAAUUGAGGACGGAAGACUACGGGGAUUGAAGCAGACUUCAAGACGUAAGAACCUGCUCUUAUAUCAUGCAAAGAAAAAGAACAGAUCAGAGUUGCUAAACAUGAAAAGAGAACAAGAGCUAAAGCUGCAUAAAUUAGCAGCUUAAUAAAAAGAAAACAAUUUUAUUGUGAUGAUUUGGAAAUAAAAGAGAAUAGAAAAAGACAACAAAACUCUUGGAGGCUUAGAAGUAGGUAUAAAUAAAUGAACGGUAUUGUAGUAAUUGAACAAAGAGUUCAUAAAUAUAAAUAGAAAAAAAAAAGAGAUUUGAAUUCUUAGAGAAAAAACCGUGAGAGUGAAAAAAGAAAAAGAGAAAAGAGGAAAAGAUAAAGAAAGGAUAAGAGAGUUAGAGAAAAUAAAUUAAAAGGUAAGAAUAUUUACGCUUUGAUGUGUAUAAAUGUGUUUUUCUUAGCUUUAAUUUUCUAUUUUGUUGAAUAUUAGGGUUUUGAAGAUUGUGUUUUGGGUUUGAUUGAUGAAUUGAUUUGAAUAUUAUGUAUUGAUUGUUAUGAAUAAUGAGUUAUUUAGUUGAUUUGAAAGAUUUUAAGUAAAAAUGAUGAUUUUGAGUUAUCGUUUAUUUAAAUGGUGAAUUUGAGUUAGAAAUCUUGUUAUAUCAGUAGGUGAUAUGUGAAAAUUCUAGGUUUAAGAUUGAAAAUGAUAAAUUUCAGUUUGGUCUCUCAAUUUAUGAAAAAUUUAGUUUAGUCCCUAGAGCAUAAUCUGAGAUUCUAGAUAAAAUGUAAUGUUGAGAAAUUAUAAGGACAUGUUAUUUAGUAGCUCAAAAAGAUAAGGGACUAAAAUGAACUUUGCAAACAAUUACAAUGUCGCCGCAUAUUUUUACCGAGUUUUUCAUUUCAGUCAUUUAUCUUUGAAUUCAACUCUUAUAUUUAAAAAACAAAAUGCAAUUGAGUUUUAAUUUGGGCAUAAAGAGAUUCGAUUAUGAAAAAAAAAAAUUCAAAUAUCAAAUUGAAAAUUUUUAAAAAAUUCACUAUUAAUAUCCACAUCCACAACAAAAUAAGUCUUGGUAAAUAGUAAUAAACAGAAAACUCUUUUAUAUUUUAAUUUGUACUAUAAUUUAGUAUUGUGACACAUAUUUUUUUAAAAUAAUUUUUUAUUUAAAAACAUAUUAGAAUAUUAUAUAUAUAUAUAUAUAAUAACAAGAAAUAUUUAAAAAUAUAUUAAUUUAAUAUUUUUAUAAAUUAAAUAUAAUUAUAAAAACCACUCUGACACAGUAAAAAAACAAAUAGCCUCUUUUUCAUACUAAUUUUCAUCUUCUAUUUUAUACAAGACUGGCCCCCUACGUGACCUUAUUUUCUUCCUUCUUUGUCCCAUUCCUUUCUUCCUCCUUUUAUCAUGCCGUGAUUUUAAGGUUUUUAUUUUAAAUGCUUGAAUAAGUAGUUGUUUUUUAAAAUAUUUUUUAUUUUAAAAAUAUAUUAAAAUAAUAUUUUUUUUAUUUUUUAAAAUUAAUUUAGAAUACAAAAAAUAAUUUUAUAAAAAAAUAAUUUAAAAAAUAAAAACCAAACACGCUAUUUCUCUCCUUAUUCGCUGCCGUGAUUUCAGGUCCUCUUUUCCUGCCUUAUUUGCAGCCUUAUUUGCAAGAGCAUGGCUGUUAACAACUAAAACUCAAAAUAUAGAGAAAAAUAGUAUCGUAGUCUUUCCUUUUCUGCCUCCAACAACCUCUCCCUCUAUUUCCACGUCCCUAUCUUAUCUCAACCGUGCCUUUCCUCUCUCUUUUUUUUCUUUUUUUUUCUUUUUUUUAAGCCUUUUAGCUUUCUCUCUCCCACUUUGUAUCCUUUCCUAGUGGGUAGAUAAAGUUGAACACGUGGCGACCAUCUAUUAGCUUUUGAAAUUACCUUUAUCUCCAUGUCACAGUAGAAUCUAAGUUACUGUUUGUUUGAUUGAUGUAAUUUUUUUUUAAAUAAUGUUUUCGGAAAGUAAAAUAUUUUUUGGUAUUUGAUAAUAUCAUAUAAAAAAAGUUAGAAAAUAUUUUUUAGUAUUUAGUAUCAUAUAAAAGCAAAUAACAAUCAUAAAAAUAAAGACAAAAUUUAAUAUAAAAUCAAAUUCUAAGGGGUGAAAUUAAAAACAAAAAUAUUCAAAACAAAAUAUAUAGCAAUUAAAAGUUUGAGGACCAAAUUUGUUAUAAUCAACAAAUAAUAUGAUAUUUCUAAAUUUUUAACAACUUCUGGAAAGUAUUUUCCAUCUAAAAUUAAAAAAAAACACGUUUUUGAAAAUAAAGCUAAUUUUUUUACUAAAAAGUAUUUUUUAUUGACUAAUUUUUUUAAUAAUAAAUAAAUAUUAAAAAAAUUUAAAAUUUAUUUUUUAAAAAAUUAUUUUCGUUAAACAAACGAGUCAUAGUUAGGGGUGAUCAUUUUCGGUUCGGUUCGAUUUUUACCUUUAAAAAACAACCAAACCGGAAAGCAAAAAAAAAAAAGGGACCCAAACCGAACCCAAACCGGUCCAAACCGACCGGUUUCGGUUCGGUUUGGGUCCGGUGUUUUAGGUCCAAAACCGGAAAAACCUAUGGUUAUUUUUCUGGCUUUGUAAUGGGCUUCGUAAUGGGCUUUUAAUGGAUUUCUGAUGGGCUUAUAAAUGAUGUUAAUAAUAUCUAAUUUUCUUAAAAAAAUUCCAAAGUAUAUUUAAUUUUUUUGCCACUAAAUAUUCAUUUAUAUUAAGUUGUUAUUGUCAAUCUUGUGUUCAAUAUAUUUUUUACCUUUCUAAUUUUUUUUCUCAUGCUUCAAAAAAAUUUAAAUAACAUUCAGUCACAUAUCAAUAAGUUAAAAUCCAAAUUAAUACAAAUUACAAACCAAUGUCUUCAAAGGGCUUAAAAAAACAACAAAUAACAUUAUAAUAAAACAAUAUUGUAUACUUGUUGGAGGAAUUUUGCCUUGGUCGACAACCUGAGGCAAGAUUGAAGUUUCAUUAGCGAUAAAUAUCAAAGAUUUGAAUAAGAAUUUGUCAUAUAAAUAAAGAGCACAAAUCCAGCAGUAAUAUAGCUUAUUAAGACCAUAAAUAAUCUGGCAUCAUCAUUCAUGAAGCCCAAUAUUGUCAACAUAAUUAUCCAUCAUAAAACAAGUCACACUUAACAUCAACACUAAAAUCAAAAUUUUGCAUUACCAAUACCUUUUUCUUUAUAAUCAAUCUUACCAAACCCGACUUGUAGAGGAAAGAACUAGUUGCACCUACUCUAGCAACAAUAACUUGCAAACGAAAGGAACUGGAGAGAAGCAAGAAUUACAGGUGCAUAUGUACACAUGCACACGAGACAGAGACACACAGAAAGAGAGUUUCACAACCACUGCAAAUAAAAAGAUAGUUCAUCUUCCCAAUACAUAACCUCUAUGCUUGCUGGUUACAACUGAAAUUUGGAAGACUAAAGUGUCUAGAAGAAAUAAACAAUAUUUUUCUCAAAUAGAUUAUAGAAUAAAGUAGAACAAGGCAACAAGCUGCAUGUCUAAAAUAGAAUGUCCCCGCUAUAUAUCACUAAGCCACUUGAGUCAAUUUCUUAGUUGGAUAGCAACACAGUAAGCCAUCAAAAUUUUAAGAUAUAGUUUUUUGUUAAGAUUAAAAUUAUAUUUUGGCGAGCAAAGGUGAAAUUUUUUGGAUAUUAAUUCUAAGAUUUAAACUUAAAAAGUAGAUGAAAAAAAUAUAUUUUAAUUAGAUUCCCUUUUAAAAAAGAAAAAGAAAAAAAAUCAAUCCAACAAAUUCCUAUAAACCAAUUCAUAAUCAUGCAAUAUCUCAAAGAUUCCCUUCAAAUCGGGUCUGUUAUGUGACUUAUGUCGCAGCAUCAAACAUUAUUCAAAGAGAUUUGAAAACUAUUUCCCCAGCAAUUGGUUAAUCCAUCCUUGUCAGACUAUGUUUCAAGUUUCAACUCAUAUAAACUAAUUCAUAAUCAUGCAAUAUCUCAAAGCUUAAGCCAAAGUAAAUAAUAGAGUCAAUUUUUAAAAAGCUAACUUCGAAUACAAACUUUUGUUGGCAGUUCCAAAUUCCAAUCUACUAGUGAGAAAGAAAAGAAGGAAAAAAAAUUGAGGACAUACUGUUUGCGAUUGAUUGUCUUUUGAGAAUCUGAGACAGGGACAACGAUUCCAAUUUCCUUUCCAAAUUGUGUUCUUUCGUCCACCUUCAUUUUUAUAUUGUUCAAAAUAAUUAACACAUCAAAAUAGAAAAAUAGAAACAAUAUAAAAUCAACAAGCAAUAAUUAAUUAAAUAUGUAAUUACAUGACAAGAUUACCUGAGCGAUGUAAUCGGCUUUGAUAGAAGCAAUAGAUUGAAGAAGAUCUGAAAGCGGUAACGUUUCGCCACCUCACACGCACAGCGGUUUCUUUCGAGAUUCGAAGAAUGGUUGUCCGAGAAUAGCCUAAGCUCGUUGACUGGUGAAGAGGAGGCGGCUGUUAAUGGGAGGGAGCGGCUGUUAAUGGGAGUAGGGGUGAUUGGAGGGGGCGGCUGUGUCUGUGAAGUGUGAAUGAAGAUUGAAAGGGUUUGAGGGGAGGGGGCGGCUGUGUGAAAGGGAAAGCAAAUAAAUGGUCUGCUAGGGUUGUUAAAAGGGAAAGUAAUGGGAGGAGGCAACCCGCUUGGUUUAUAUUUUUUUUUCAUUCCUAAACCGAACCGGUUCGGUUCGGUUCGGGUUGGCUGGUUCAGGUACACCAAAACCGGAAACCGAACCGAAUCAAACAUUUUCCUAAAUAUUUUAACCGGUUCAAUCGAUUUUUUUUACCGGUUCGGUUUUUUCAGUUAUUUUUUUCUGGUUUUCUUGGUUAAAUUGAUUUUCCGGUUUUUUUGCUCACCCCUAGUCAUAGUUAUGACUUUGAACAAGUGGCGAUAAUCUAUUGGUUACUUGGAUCAGCUGGUCACCAUGUCACAAAAAGAUUUAAAAUUCUCCUUUCAUUUACUCACGUUGUUAUAUUGGUACUUUCUCAUAAAUUUGUUUUUAAAAAAAAAAACUGAAAUUUUUAAUUAUAAUCUGUAAGUAUAAUUUCUUAUGUAAUGUAAUUGUAAUCCCUAGCAUAAUGCAUAUUCUAGGGCAAGCACAUCAACUCAAGAGCAAAGCAACUCGAUGAAAUAGCAAAAGAAAAAGAUUUGAAGGACUGAAAUAAAAUAAAACCACAAAAGAAAGAUGAAGAAAGUAACCGUAAUGUGGAUGCCACCAAAAACCUAGUUCUUUUAGCUUUUAUUUAUUUAUUUAAUAUUGUAAUAGUGAUUACCUCAUUGAGUGUGACACAGAGAUGAUCAUCAUAGAUAAUUUAUUUUUAAUUGCUUGAGUUUCAUCCUUUAUUGUGUUCAUUCCAGUAAUUCUAUUUCUUUGCAAGUCUUUUCCUGUUUUUUUUUUAAUUUUAAAAAAAGAAUAAAACUAAAAAAAACCUUUACCGAUCAUAGCUUAGAUUAAUUAAUUAUAUUUGUUGUUGGAAGCGAGCUAAGUGAUUAUCCUGAACCUUUCAUUCGUUUUUUUUUUAUAACCUGGGGUGUCCGGGCUAGCUUGCGCGCACCACGACAAUUCUCUGGGUCUACUGAACAUCCUGCAAGUCCAGUAGACAGGUAAUGCACCGCGGGGGUGACAGGAAUACACAUGAAGGGUCGAACUUGGGACGGGGGGCAAGGCAAGCCUCGCCUGUUGACCACUGAGCUAGACCCUUAAGUGCCCUUUCAUUCGUUUCUUUUUUUUUUAGUUUUUUAGUUUAACGUGGGUGUCCGGGCCAACUUGCGCGCACCUCGACUAAUCCCACGGGCCUUGAAGUUAACGACCAUGUAAGCCUCUAGCGGCCAUCAUAUGAGCAAUCACAGGGCUCGAACCUGAGACCACAGAGGGAGCAAACCUCUUGGUCCCAAGUUCUUACUACUGAGCCACCACCUAGAUGGUUCUUUCAUUCGUUUCUUUCUUUGCUAGGUGAGUGCUUUUAUACAUUUUUUUUUGUUUGCCACUGUCUCUAUAUGAUGUUAAUUAUGUCAUCAAAAUGCAUUUUUAAUGGGAAUUACUGCUUUAACUCACAAGUGUCAGUUAGAAUCCUUAUACCUUGCCUUGUUGCUUUUGAAGCUGGAUUCCAUACAGAGCUAAAGGCCUUCUCCUUUUGUUCCUCCCGCUAUUUCAUUGAGCUCUCAGUACCAGUGCUUUCCGCGCAUAUUUUCCCAAAUUACGGUAAUGGAAUUCCUAUUCCCAUUCUCUCUGCCCCUGUUUUACUGGUAGUGACUCACUCUCACGUCCUGUAUCCUCAUUUCUCUUAUUUUCAGACUGGUGGAAAAUGGCUAUCGAAAGUGUGGGUGGAUCCAUUAUAUCUAAGAUAGCAGAACUCAUGGUGGAACCAGUGGGAAGGCAGUUCCGUUACAUGUUCUGUUUCAACAAUUUUGUUGAAGAAUUCAAAGAACAAAAGGAGAACCUUGCUUUAGCACUAGAUGGUCUGCAAAAAGAUGUCGAAGCUGCUGAAAGGAAUGCUGAAGAAAUUAAGAAAGUUGUCAAAAAGUGGAUGGAAGAUGCAAACAGCAAAAUUGAAGGUGCGAAGCCCUUGGAAAAUGAAAUAGGAAGAAAUGGCAAAUGCUUUCCUUGGUGCCCAAACUGCAUGCGACAAUUCAAGUUAAGCAAGGCACUGGCCAAGAAGUCGGAGACUUUCAGAGAACUUUUAGAAAAAAAGCCUACUAAAGUGUCCUACAGAGCUCAUCCUCAGCCCAUAGAAUUUCUUCCAUCAAAGGAUUUCACGCCCUCAGAAUCUUCAAAAGAAGCUUUGGAACAGAUUAUGAAAGCUCUCAAAGAUGACACCGUCAAUAUGAUCGGACUGUACGGCAUGGGAGGGGUGGGUAAAACCACCCUGGUGAAAGAAGUAGGCAGGAGAGCCAAAGAGUUGCAGCUGUUUGAUGAAGUUUUGAUGGCUACGGUGUCGCAGAAUCCAAAUGUCACAGACAUUCAGCACCAAAUGGCAGAUAAGUUAGGUCUGGAUAUUAAAGAAAAGAGUACUAAUGCAGGGAGAGCAGAUCGAUUAUGGCAGAGACUGAAGCAAGUGGAGAAGAUGCUUAUUAUCCUAGAUGAUGUUUGGAAAUAUAUUGACUUGAAAGAGAUAGGGAUCCCAAUUGGUGAUGAUCACAGGGGUUGUAAAAUACUUCUAACAACACGUCGUACAAAUGUAUGUUCUUCUAUGAAAUGCCAGCAAAAAGUGUUCUUAAGAGAAUUACCUGAAAAAGAAGCAUGGGAUUUAUUCAGAAUCAAUGCAGAUUUACUUGAUGGGCACCCUACCUUGAACACAGUGGCAAGGGAGGUUGCGAGAGAAUGUCAAGGCUUGCCCAUAGCACUUGUGACAGUGGGAAGGGCUCUAAGAGAUCAAUCUGCACUUCAGUGGGAAUUAGCGUGUAGACAGCUCAAAGAAUCUCAAUUUGCGCGCAUGGAACAAAUUGACGAAAAAAAUAAUGCUUAUACAUGUCUUAAGUUGAGCUAUGAUUAUUUGAAGCUCCAGGAAACCAAGUCAUGUUUCGUGCUAUGCUGUUUAUUUCCAGAAGACUAUGACAUUCCAAUCCAGGACUUGACGAGAUAUGCAGUUGGCUAUGGGUUACAUCAAGAUGCGGAGCCCAUUGAAGAUGCAAGGAAACGAGUUUCUGUGGCAAUCGAAAACCUCAAAGAUUGUUGCAUGCUGUUGGGCUCUGAAACUGAAGAACAUGUGAAAAUGCAUGACCUUGUUCGUGAUGUUGCUAUUCACAUAGCAUCAGAAGAAUAUGGAUUCAUGGUAAAGGCUGGCUUAGGGUUAGAGAAGUGGCCAAUGAGCGAUACAAGCUUUGAAGGUUGUACAACAAUUUCGUUAAUGGGCAAUCAACUAGCAGAACUUCCUGAAGGAUUGGUAUGUCCAAAGCUCAAAGUUCUAUUGUUAGAAGUGGAUUCUGGUUUGAAUGUUCCAGAGAGGUUUUUUGAAGGGAUGAAAGAAAUUGAAGUUUUGUCUCUGAAGGGAGGGUGUUUGUCAUUGCAAUCACUUGAACUCUCAACGAAACUUCAAUCGUUGGUGUUGAUCUCGUGUAAUUGCAAGGACCUCAUUCGGUUGAGAAAGCUGCAGAGACUUAAGAUUCUUGGUCUUGUGUCGUGCUCAUCCAUUGAAGAAUUACCUGAUGAAAUAGGAGAGCUCAAGGAGUUAAGGUUGUUGGAUGUGACAGGUUGUGAAAGGCUAAGAAGGAUCCCUGUGAAUUUGAUUGGAAGGUUGAAGAAGUUAGAAGAGCUGUUGAUCGGGCAUCGCAGCUUUGAUGGAUGGGAUGAUGUUGGAUGUGACAGCACAGGAGGAAUGAAUGCAAGACUAACAGAACUAAAUUCGUUGUCUCAGUUAGCCGUAUUAUCAUUGAGGAUACCGAAGGUUGAAUGCAUUCCUAGAGAUUUUGUUUUUCCAGAUAGCUUGCGCAAAUAUGAUAUAAUAUUAGGGAAUGCUGAUGGAUAUUAUAGAAUGUUUAGGGAUCGCUACCCAACCUCCUUAAUUUCGACAGCUGGUACAUCCUUGAAUGCGAAGACAUUUGAGCAAUUGUUUUUACAUAAAUUAGAAUCUGUACAAGUGAGCAGUUGUGGGGAUGUUUUCACUCUGUUUCCAGCAAGAUUGCGGCAAGGUUUUAAAAAUCUAAAGGAGGUGAUUGUUGACAGCUGUAAAUCAUUGAAAGAGGUAUUUGAAUUGGGUGAGGCUGAUGAAGGAAGCAGUGAGGAGAAGGAGAUGCCGCUGCUGUCAUCUUUAACAGAGUUAAAGCUGAAAAUAUUACCUGAGCUAAAAUGCAUAUGGAAGGGGCCCACCAGACAUGUCAACCUCCAAAGUCUUAUUAAUCUGGAGUUGUAUGCUCUCGACAAACUGACAUUUAUCUUCACACCGUCCCUUGCUUACAGUCUGCCAAAGCUACAAAGACUUUACAUAAGUGAUUGUGGUGAAUUGAAGCAUAUUAUCAGAGAAGAGGAUGGUGAAAGGGAAAUAAUUCCAGAGUCUCCUUGCUUCCCACAAUUAAAAAAUAUCUACAUAUAUUUCUGUGAUAAACUGGAAUAUGUCUUCCCAGUCUCUUUGUCUCAUAACAGAGAUGGCAUCAUCAAGUUCCCUCAACUAAGAGAAUUGUCUCUUGGGCUCAGAUCAAAUUACAGCUUUUUAGGUCCAAGGAAUUUUGAUGCUCAAUUGCCUUUGCAAUACUUAGCCAUUCAAGGCCACGAAGAAGUGGGUAAUUGGUUGGCACAGCUACAAGUACGUAAUUUAUAUUUCUCCACUAAUUUAAAUUGUCAAUUGCGAUAAUUUAUGCUUUCUUCCUCCCGAUUUCUUAAAGUAAAGUAAAUUAAAUUGGCUUAUUUUUAUUUUUAUCUAAACAUAUAUAAAUAUAAGAAACUUAACUGCCUCAUUGUUGUCUGCGUUAUUAAAAAUUAAUCAUAUGGAAUAACAUAUUAUCUGUUAGAUUUAACUGCCUCAUUUGAAAUAUAUUAUCUGUUAGAUUUAACUGCCUCAUGGUUUACGUAAUUUAUAUUAUAUCUGUUAGAUUUAUUCUUUCUUCGUCACUGCUUAUUUUUUUGUUUUAUCUAAACAUAUAUAAAUAUAAGAAACUUAAUACCAACAAUUAAUCAUAGAAAUCAUAUUAGCUUAUUUUGUGUUCAAAUAUUUAAUUCAAUUAAAAUAUCUUUAAAAAUUUAUUAACUUUAUAACUAAAAUAAAAAUAUUAGGUACUAUUUUUAUUUUUAUUUUUUACAUGAAACUAAUUAUUAGGAGUUGUAGUAACCUUUUUUCGCAAAAAUCUAAUUAUUAUUUAACUUAUCUCUAAUUAAGAAAAAAACUGAAACAAUAAUAUGUAAUCUCUAAAAAGUAUGUAAUCCUGUUUUUUCUUUUUUUUUCUCAUCAUAUAAAUUGUUUUUAUGAGUGAAAAAAUAUAAUAUUGUUCUCUGAUAAGAUGGCCGUCCAUGGGCAGCAAAACGGCUUCUUACAAAGAUUAGAAUUUGUACGAGUGGACGAUUGUGGGGAUGUUCGCCCUCCGUUUCCAGCAAAAUUGCUGCGAGCUUUGAAAAAUCUAAAGAGUGUGGAAAUUGAGGACUGCAAAUCAUUGGAAGAGGUAUUUGAAUUAGGUGAGCCUGAUGAAGGAAGUAGUGAGGAGAAGGAGCUGCUGUCAUCUUUAACAAUGUUAGAUCUGCAAAGGUUACCUGAGGUCAAAUGCAUAUGGAAGGGGCCCACCAGAUAUGUCAGCCUCCAAAGUCUUAAUAUUCUGAAAUUGAGAUCUCUCGACAAACUGACAUUUAUCUUCACACCGUCCCUGGCUCGAAGUCUGCCAAAGCUAGCAGGCCUCUACAUAAAUAAUUGCGCUGAAUUGCAGCAUAUUAUCAGAGAAGAGGCUGGUGAAAGGGAAAUAAUUCAAGAGUCUCCUGGCUUCCCAGAAUUAAAAACUAUCAUCAUAGAAGAGUGUGGUAAACUGGAAUAUGUCUUCCCUGUAUCUGUGUCUCCAAGCCUUCUGAACCUGGAAGAGAUGCGGAUUUUUAAAGCUCAUAAUUUAAAGCAAAUAUUUUACAGUGUAGAAGGAGAUGCACUCACCACAGAUGGCAUCAUCAAGUUCCCUAAGCUAAGAAAAUUGUCUAUUUCAAAUUGCAGCUUCUUUGGUCCAAAGA